rnacentral:rRNA from 1 species
UUAGACCUCAGAUCAGGCAGGAUUACCCGCUGAACUUAAGCAUAUCAAUAAGCGGAGGAAAAGAAACUAACAAGGAUUCCCCUAGUAACGGCGAGUGAAGCGGGAAGAGCUCAAAUUUGUAAUCUGGCACUUUCAGUGUCCGAGUUGUAAUCUCGAGAAGUAUUUUCCGCGCCGGACCGCAUACAAGUCUGUUGGAAUACAGCGUCAUAGUGGUGAGAACCCCGUAACUGAUGCGGAUGCCCGGUGCUUUGUGAUAUACUUUCGAAAAAUCCAGUUGUUUGGGAAUGCAGCUCAAAUUGGGGGGUAAAUUCCAUCUAAAGCUAAAUAUUGGAGCAAGACCGAUUGCGAACAAGUACCGGGAGGGGAAAAAUGAAAAGCCCUUUGGAAAGAGAGUUAACAGUACGGGAAAUUGUUGGAAGGGAAACCCUUGAAAUCAAAAUUGGUUAUUCGGAGUUCA